AUGGGCAUUUCAUCCAAGUGGAUCAAAUCACUUGUUGGGAUAAAAAAGCAUGGAAAAGCUCAAAAUGGCGAAAGCAGCAGAGAAGUAAGUCAAAGGAGGAGCUCUGCUGCUCAGGUGCUACACAAACGGAAACAUUCCGUGGAUACUGAAGGCGCCCUUGCAGUUGCAGAACACAGAGUGCAAACUGAACCAUUGGCUAGUGACACCAAUACACAGACAAUUUCAUCUGAGACUGAACUAAAUACAAAGGAGCAUCAGGCUGCAACAAUUAUUCAAUCAGCCUUUCGAGCAUUCUUGGCUAGGCGAGCUUUACGGGCAUUAAAAGGAUUAGUUAGACUCCAGGCUCUCGUUAGGGGCCAUGCUGUACGAAAGCAAGCAGCAGAAACACUUCAGUGUAUGCAAUCACUAGUAAAGGCUCAAGCUCGUGUCAGAGCAAGACAGGUUCGUAUUGGUUUGGAAGGUCAGGUACCCCAGAAGAAGGCUCCUGAACAAAAUGCUCAGGAGGAUCAAGCUCGAGAAAUUGAGGAACGCUGGUGUGGCGGUAUUGGCUCGGCGGAAGAAAUGCAAGCUAAAGUACUGAAAAAGCAAGAAGCUGCCGCUAAGCGGGAAAGAGCAAUGGCAUAUGCUUUAACGCACCAGCGGCAAGCAGGUUCGAGGAAACAGAAAGCUGCAGAUGUCCAAGGGCCAGAGGCGGAUGAGAACCAGUGGGGGCGGAACUGGGUGGAGAGGUGGGUGGCUGUACGCCCGUGGGAGAACAGGUUACUGGACAGUAAUGCCAAAGAGAAUGUACCAAUUGGUGAUGAUAAGGAGGCUGAGGAAAAUGGGGACAGGGAUGUAAACAAGCCAAAAGGAAAAGUUGCAGUUUCGGGCAUUCAGUUAAAUGGUUCAAGCCAGACGAAAGAUGCAAAACACAAGAAGUCACAUUCUGAUGCAAGUGGUUCUUCAUCAGGGCAAUCUGCGGCUGCGCCACCCGCCGCUUCUUUGGGAUCAUCUAAGCUGAAACCGAAGCCAUCGGAUCAAACCUCCGAGGAAGUCAGCCCUCAACCUACAGAUCCGGCUCCACGGUCCACAAGUAAUCCGAAGGAAAGGCCAGCAGCACAAGUCAAUGCACCAACCAAGAAGCGGCUAUCCCUUCCUAACAACGCAGCUGCCGGUGGCGCGGCAAGAAAAGGCCAGGCGAACAGCAGCGAGAAAGCUCAGCCCGUCGGUUCCAAGAACAAGGCGAAAGGAGCAUCCAAGUCUGAAUCGAAGCAGCGACCGAGCCCUGGUAGCACAAGCGCGAAGCGGGUUUAG
rnacentral:rRNA from 1 species